UUAUUUGUUAACUUAUAUUUUUGUAGUUGUUAGUAUAUUUAAGAGUCAUUAGAUUUGGUAAUCAUAUAGAUGUGGGGAGGAGGAAUGUAGUGAGAGUCUGAAACUUAUUAGUUGUAAUGAAAUGUUGGUAGUCGAGCUGGAAGUUGAUCAGAUGGCCAGAAGCAGCACUAGUCCAAUAGGAGCAAAAGAAAAACGCUAAAAGGGUUUAGCAAACUUGGAAUUUCAGUUCAUAUAAAAAGUGGGGGAAAAGAGAAUACCUAGUGAAGUAGCUUGUCUUUCUACUUUUUACACAAUCUUCUGUGUUGGCUUCAGGAACUUGAACGCCUGAAGUAGCUGGUUCAGAUGUCUCUUACUUCUUCAGAAGGAAACUUGUCAUCAAGCUCCUGCAAUAUGAACUAGAUCAUGAAAACAUCACUAAAUACAUUUAACGUGGAGACAAGGUUACACUAAAGAACUUAAUGAAUCCAGUGCACCUGACGUUUCUUGAUAAUAAUAACAAUGGAGGAUAAUUAUAUUAACCUGAACUUAAAGAGAUGAUAUAUGUCCUCCCAGUUCUCAUUACAUGAGGGUAUCUACUUACCAAGAUUCUACUUUAGCCAAGUGAACCCCAUUUACCAAUUACCACCACAUGGAACAUCUAAACCUAAAAGAAGCUGCAUUAUCGACCCAAUAGCUCAUACAAAAGUUGGAUAUUAAUCUCUAUGAAUGGACAACGAGGUUGAAAGAUCGAUUCCUAUGAAUGAAAAUGUGAUGUAUAAAAUCUAGACUCUUAUCUGGGUGAACAUGGUUCCAGGCUUGAUCAACCAAGAAUAUGUCUGUGCCCCAUGAUUAC
rnacentral:lncRNA from 1 species